GAAAUGCCUGCAUGAGAUCCAGCUGUAAGGCAUUUUCUCAUUUAGUACGGGGAGGACCCAGCCCAUUGUGGGUGGCACCAUCCCAGGGCUGGUGGUCUUG
rnacentral:miRNA from 1 species